rnacentral:lncRNA from 1 species
UGAAGCUCAAGAACGUGCUUGUAAAACAGCUGCUGCUUAGCAAUGUUUUUUCUUGGGUGAAUAUGCCAGAAUGUGGAUACAUACAUAGAACAGGCAGGGAGAAGAGUAAGAAAAUGAAUCUGGAAGAAAAUUGGUGAAUCCAACCCAGUGGACCUGGAAGCACUCUGACAGGCUCAGAGAGCAGAGUCUGGACCAAAGAGCAAUUACCCCACCAAACGAUUUCAGUUCAUCUUUCUGGAGUCCUGGGAAACACACUGAAGUGAACAGAAG